AGAACGAACGCUGGCGGCAGGCUUAACAUAUGCAAGUCGAGCGCUCUUCCCUGCUUCGGCGGGGUUGGGAGCGGCGGACGGGUGAGUAACGCGUGGGAACGUGCCCUGGGGUGCGGAACAACAGCUGGAAACGGCUGCUAAUACCGCAUGAUGUCUACGGACCAAAGAUUUAUCGCAAGAUAGUCGCCCUGGGAUCGGCCCGCGUCGGAUUAGGUAGUUGGUGGGGUAACGGCCCACCAAGCCGACGAUCCGUAGCUGGUUUGAGAGGAUGAUCAGCCACACUGGGACUGAGACACGGCCCAGACUCCUACGGGAGGCAGCAGUGGGGAAUCUUGGACAAUGGGGGCAACCCUGAUCCAGCCAUGCCGCGUGAGCGAUGAAGGCCCUAGGGUUGUAAAGCUCUUUCACCCGUGAAGAUAAUGACGGUAGCGGAGAAGAAGCCCGCUAACUCCGUGCCAGCAGCCGC
rnacentral:rRNA from 1 species